rnacentral:rRNA from 1 species
AACGAACGCUGGCGGCAGGCUUAACACAUGCAAGUCGAGCGCCCCGCAAGGGGAGCGGCCGACGGGUGAGUAACGCGUGGGAACGUACCCUUUGGUUCGGAACAACUCCGGGAAACUGGAGCUAAUACCGGAUAAGCCCUAACGGGGAAAGAUUUAUCGCCGAAAGAUCGGCCCGCGUCUGAUUAGCUAGUUGGUGAGGUAACGGCUCACCAAGGCGACGAUCAGUAGCUGGUCUGAGAGGAUGAUCAGCCACACUGGGACUGAGACACGGCCCAGACUCCUACGGGAGGCAGCAGUGGGGAAUAUUGGACAAUGGGCGCAAGCCUGAUCCAGCCAUGCCGCGUGAGUGAUGAAGGCCUUAGGGUUGUAAAGCUCUUUUGUCCGGGAAGAUAAUGACUGUACCGGAAGAAUAAGCCCCGGCUAACUUCGUG